CUACGGGUCGCUGCAGUAGGGAAUCUUGGACAAUGGGGGAAACCCUGAUCCAGCAAUACCGCGUGAAUGACGAAGGCCUUAGGGUUGUAAAGUUCUUUCACUUAAGAAGAUAAUGACGUUAUUAAGAGAAGAAGCUCCGGCGUAACUCUGUGCCAGCAGCCGCGGUAAGACAGAGGGAGCUAGUGUUGUUCGGAAUUACUGGGCGUAAAGGGUGCGUAGGCGGCGUUUUAAGUAGGAUGUUAAAGACAUAGGCUCAACCUAUGAAAUGCAUUCUAAACUGAAAUGCUAGAGUCUGGAAGAGGAAAGUGGAAUUUCUAGUGGAGAGGUGAAAUUCUUAGAUAUUAGAAAGAAGAUCAAUGGCGAAGGCAACUUUCUAGGACAGUACUGACGCUGAGGCACGAAAGCGUGGGGAGCAAACAGGAUUAGAUACCCGUGUAGUC
rnacentral:rRNA from 1 species